GAGAAAACCAAAGCUGCAUAAUCUUACUCGCAAACCCGGAUUCGAUCGAAAAUCCGAGAUUAUGUUUUUGACCUGAUGAUUCUGGAGAUCGAAUACGGAGAACUGUGGGAACUCCGGUGAAGUAUAUUGUUCCUUACCCUCCACUUCACUUUCUCCUUCUUUUCUCCUCAGAAUCCCGAGCCGCUCUCCUUUGUUUAUUUUACAGAUGUUAAAAGCGUAGAAAACAAAAUCUCUGAGGAAGAUGAAGAAGAGGAUUUUGAUCAGAGGAAGCUCCAAACAGACCCAACGACGUUUGUUUGAUCCAACAUAGCACCGUAGUCCUCCAACGGAGCGUGAUGGUGGGAUCGUGGCUGGAUCGGGUCAGGGACAAAGUGGUGGUGGUGUGAGUGAGUAAGACUCCUGCGAUUUUGAAGGAGUUGGAAGAAGGUAAAGCAUCCUGUUUUACUGAUUUGGGUUUGAAAGAAGGUAAAGCAUUGGUUGAGAAGACUCAUGUGAUUUUGAAAGCUAAUUUGUCUAAAUAAGAAGGUGUGAAGAUCGUUGAGAAGCUGAAAGCACUUGGUGCUAAAGUUGUUUUGGACUAAAAUCAUCAAUUUGUGUUACUUUAAAGCUUCAAUUUUUCUUCUUUUGUUCCAUCUAUGAGCUUAUGAUACAAGCUGAUUAAGGUGUUUCUUAUAGUCAUAUGUUACACUUGCUCUUUUUCAUUGGUCAAUUAUUGGAUUUGAGAGAUGAAAAAGGAUAUGAUGAAUUUAUUCAAUAAACAUAAUUUUUUUUC